GGCGGCAUAGCCAAGUGGUAAGGCAAAGGUCUGCAACACCUUGACCACCGGUUCAAAUCCGGUUGCCGCCU
rnacentral:tRNA from 2 species